rnacentral:rRNA from 1 species
AGAGUUUGAUCCUGGCUCAGGACGAACGCUGGCGGCGUGCCUAACACAUGCAAGUCGAGCGGGGACAUGCAAUGCCUCUGAUGAGCUUGCGCUGAAGACAAUUUGUAUGUUCUAACCGCGGACGGGUGAGUAACUGGUGAUCAACCUUUCCUUCACGAGGGAAUAACGCACCAAAAGUUGUACUAAUACCGCAUAAGACCACAGUCAGCCAUCUUCCAGGGGUCAAAGGAGCAAUCCGGUGAAGGGUAGGUUGGCUUCCGAUUAGAUAGUUGGUGAGGUAACGCCCCACCAAGUGGACAAUCGGUAGCCGCCUUGAGAGGGUGUUCGCCCCCAUUGGGAUUGAGACACGUCCCAGAUUCUUACGGGAGGCACCAGUGGGGAUUAUUGGCCAAUGGGGGAAACCUUGACCCAGCAACGCCGCGUGAGGGAAGAAGGUUUUCGGAUGGUAACCUUCUUUCCUUGAUGAAGAGAAAGAGACGGUAAUCAGGGAGGAAGCUCCGGCUAACUACGUGCCAGCAGCCGCGGUAAUACGUAGGGGGCAAGCGUUGUCCGGAAUGAUUGGGCGUAAAGGGCGCGUAGGCGGCCCGGUAAGUCUGGAGUGAAAUUCCCGUUUUUAAGAUGGGAACUGCUUUGGAUACUGUCGGGCUUGAGUGCAGGAGAGGUUAGUGGAAUUCCCAGUGUAGCGGUGAAAUGCGUAGAGAUUGGGAGGAACACCAGUGGCGAAGGCGACUAACUGGACCGUAACUGACGCUGAGGCGCGAAAGUGUGGGGAGCAAACAGGAUUAGAUACCCUGGUAGUCCACACGGUAAACGAUGAGUGCUAGGUGUAGGGGGUAUCGACCCCUUGUGUGCCGCAGUUAACACAAUACAGCUACUCCGCGUGGGGAGUGCGGCCGCAAGGUUGAAACUCAAAGGAAUUGACGGGGGCCCGCACAAGCAGCGGCGCAUGUGGUUUAAUUAGACGCAACGCGAAGCACCUUCCCAGGUCUUCACAUCCAGUAAAACUUGUAGAGAUACAUCGUGUUUUCGGACAUAAUGACACAGGUGGCGCAUGGUUGUUGUCAGCUCGUGUCGUGAGAUGUUGGGUUAAGUCCCGCAACGAGCGCACCCCUUAUUCUCAGUAGCCCGCAUUUAGGAUGGGCAUUCUGGAGAGACUCCCAGGGAUAACCUGGAGGAAGGUGGGGAGGACGUCAAAUCAUCAUGCCCCUUAUGAUCUGGGCUACACACGUGCUACAAUGACGGUUACAAAGUGAUGCGAACCCGCGAGGGGGAGCGAUCCACAAAAAGCCCGUCCCAGUUCGGACUGUAGUUUGCAACCCGCCUCCACGAAGCGGAAUCGCUAGUAAUCGUGAAUCAGAAUGUCACGGUGAAUAAGUUCCCGGGUCUUGCACACACCGCCCGUCA